rnacentral:rRNA from 1 species
CACGUAGGAGGCGAGCGUUGUCCGGAAUCAUUGGGCGUAAAGAGCGCGCAGGCGGCCGAGCAAGUCGAGUGUGAAAGCCCCCGAGCUUAACUUGGGAACUGCGCUCGAAACUACUUGGCUGGAGUGUGGCAGAGGAAGGUGGAAUUCCACGUGUAGCGGUGAAAUGCGUAGAGAUGUGGAGGAACACCAGUGGCGAAGGCGCCCGCUGG